GCGCAUGUAGCCCAAUUGGCAGAGGCACUGGUCUUAGAAGCCAGAAGUUAAGAGUUCGAAUCUCUUCAUGCGUACCA
rnacentral:tRNA from 1 species